rnacentral:rRNA from 1 species
UCGGGUUGUAAAGCACUUUUGUCCGGAAAGAAAGCAUCCUAGCUAAUACCUGGGGUGGAUGACGGUACCGGAAGAAUAAGCACCGGCUAACUACGUGCCAGCAGCGCGGUAAUCGUAGGGUGCGAGCGUUAAUCGGAAUUACUGGGCGUAAAGCGUGCGCAGGCGGUUCGUUAAGACAGAUGUGAAAUCCCCGGGCUUAACCUGGGAACUGCAUUUGUGACUGGCGAGCUAGAGUAUGGCAGAGGGAGGUAGAAUUCCACGUGUAGCAGUGAAAUGCGUAGAGAUGUGGAGGAAUACCGAUGGCGAAGGCAGCCUCCUGGGCCAAUACUGACGCUCACGCACGAAAGCGUGGGGAGCAAACAGGAUUAGAUACCCUGGUAGUCCACGCCCUAAACGAUGUCAACUAGUUGUUGGGGAUUCAUUUCCUUAGUAACGAAGCUAACGCGUGAAGUUGACCGCCUGGGGAGUACGGUCGCAAGAUUAAAACUCAAAGGAAUUGACGGGGACCCGCACAAGCGGUGGAUGAUGUGGAUUAAUUCGAUGCAACGCGAAAAACCUUACCUACCCUUGACAUGGUCGGAAUCCUGCUG